UACAGAGGGGGCAAGCGUUGUUCGGAAUUACUGGGCGUAAAGGGCGCGUAGGCGGCCUGCUAAGUCGAACGUGAAAUCCCCGGGCUCAACCCGGGAACUGCGUCCGAUACUGGCAGGCUUGAAUCCGGGAGAGGGAUGUGGAAUUCCAGGUGUAGCGGUGAAAUGCGUAGAUAUCUGGAGGAACACCUAUUGCGAAGGCAGCUCGCUGGGACGCAACUGACGCUGAGACGCGAAAGCGUGGGGAGCAAACAGG
rnacentral:rRNA from 1 species